AUUGAACGCUGGCGGCAGACCUAACACAUGCAAGUCGAGCGAGCGGCGGACGGGUGAGUAAUGCCUGGGAAUUGCCCAGUCGAGGGGGAUAACAGUUGGAAACGACUGCUAAUACCGCAUACGAUUGGAUUACCCAGGUGGGAUUGGGUAGUUGGUGAGGUAAUGGCUCACCAAGGCGACGAUCCCUAGCUGGUCUGAGAGGAGGAUACCCCCCCCUGGAACUGAGACACGGUCCAUACUCCUCCCGUCUUCCUCCUUUUCUUCUAUUCCAACCUUCUUGAAACCCUGAUUCAGCCAUGCCGCGUGUGUGAAUACUCCCUUCAGUUUCUCAUGCACUUUCAGCGAGGAGGCGUUACUCGCAGAAGAAGCACCGGCUAACUCCGUGCCAGCAGCCGCGGUAAUUC
rnacentral:rRNA from 1 species